GCCUACGGGGGGCAGCAGUGGGGAAUAUUGCACAAUGGGGGAAACCCUGAUGCAGCAACGCCGCGUGAGUGAAGAAGUAUUUCGGUAUGUAAAGCUCUAUCAGCAGGGAAGAAAAUGACAGUACCUGACUAAGAAGCCCCGGCUAACUACGUGCCAGCAGCCGCGGUAAUACGUAGGGGGCAAGCGUUAUCCGGAUUUACUGGGUGUAAAGGGAGCGUAGACGGCUGCGCAAGUCAGAAGUGAAAGCCCGGGGCUCAACCCCCGGACUGCUCUGGAAACUGCCAGGCUGGAGUGCAGGAGAGGUA
rnacentral:rRNA from 1 species